UUCUUAUCCAGAGAGGUGGAGGGACUGGCCCAACGAAGCCUCGGCAACAGACUUAUGGAGUACUGUGCCAAUUCCAGAAGCAUAUUACAUGCUUGAAGAUAAGAG
rnacentral:ncRNA from 2 species